rnacentral:rRNA from 1 species
GACGAACGCUGGCGGCGUGCUUAACACAUGCAAGUCGAACGGAAAGGCCCUGCUUUGGUGGGGUGCUCGAGUGGCGAACGGGUGAGUAACACGUGAGUAACCUGCCCUUGACUUUGGGAUAACCUCAGGAAACUGGGGCUAAUACCGGAUAGGAGCUCCUGCUGCAUGGUGGGGGUUGGAAAGUUUCGGCGGUUGGGGAUGGACUCGCGGCGUAUCAGCUUGUUGGUGGGGUAGUGGCUUACCAAGGCUUUGACGGGUAGCCGGCCUGAGGGGGUGACCGGCCCCGUUGGGAUUGAGAUACGGCCCGGACUCCUAUGGGAGGCAGCGGUGGGGAGUAGUGCACAAUGGGCGGAAGCCUGAUCCAGCAACGCCGCGUGGGGGAUGACGGCCUGGGGGUUGUAAACCGCUUCCGCCUGUGACGAGGCGUGAGUGACGGUAAUGGGUAAAGAAGCACCGGCUAACUACGUG